rnacentral:misc_RNA from 1 species
UCUCCGUAGGUGAACCUGCGGAGGGAUCAUUACUGAGUGAGGGCCUUCGGGCUCGACCUCCAACCUUUUGUGAACACAACUUGUUGCUUCGGGGGCGACCCUGCCGUUUCGAUGGCGAGCGCCCCCGGAGGCCUUCAAACACUGCAUCUUUGCGUCGGAGUUUAAAACAAAUUAAACAAAACUUUCAACAACGAAUCUCUUGGUUCCAGCAUCGAUGAAGAACGCAGC